AGCCGUCGCUCCUCCCGCACAGCCGCACUCGCGCCGUCCCCUUCCUCUUCCUCCCGCCUCGCCUCUCUCUCCUUCCAAACCCUAGGCCCGAGCCCGCCGCCGCUGCUCUGCCCGAGCCCGCCGCCGCUGCUUCCUCCUUACCCGCUGGCGCCCGGCCUCCUCCCCUCACGUCCUCCUCCUUCUACCCCCUCCCGCCCCGGCCCCGGCUCCCGCGGGAGGGAAGCAGGAAUGGCGAGGCGAGGCAAAGGCGGCGUAGGGGACACGGCGUGGCGCAGGUGGGUCGGCGCGGCCGCGGCUUCUCUUCUUAUCUCCCGGGAGUGGGCCGCAGCCAUGGAGAGCGGCCAGAGGAGCAAGGACGGCCAACCCCUGCCACCUAUCCAGCACGUGUUGGGGAUUGCGGGCAACGAUUGAAUCUGCAGACUGGUUCGCUCAAGGAUGACGAGGAGAUGGCCGGCUUCAGGGUGCAGCAGAAGGAGGAGGGGCACGCAGUGCCGGCCGGGCUGAUGCGGAGGGGGCUGCAAGCUCGACGUGAGAGCAGCGGCAGGGACAAGCUCAGCAGGCUCUUCUACUGCGCCUGCUAGACCUCGAGGUCCAUCUGCCCCUCCCCCCCUCUCCCUCCCUAGCGAUUUGGUUUGGUGUUCAUGGUGUUCCGCCCAACAAAUCACCAAAAGAAAUUAUAUACAUAUACAACACAUUUUUAGUAGCGACAGAUUAUUCCUAGGAUCAUGUAAAAAAAUUUAUUGCUAGGGUCAGCGGUGGGUUCGGCGGCCGCGGUCGGUGCUGCCGUCCUCUCCAGUGAGCUCCUUUGACCAGUGCCAUGAGAGCAAUUGCGCCGGUGCCUCUCGUGGACAGCGCGUGCAUCAGCAACCUUCUAAAGUCCUUCACAAAUCGCAUCGCAUCGCCGGCCCGAGUGACGGCCAUCCGGCUGUUCCCCUUUGCGGUGUGCUACGCCGUGUCCGCUGAAGCUGCAAUAUCUUCGGACGCCCGUGUUGUUGAGCGGAGGUUCCUCAUCCAGUAGCAGCAUCCGCGACUCUUAUCCAUAUACCAAAUAUAGUAGUAUCUAUGCACAUUUUCCCCUUUACCCUGCAUUUCUACGAGCAGGUGCAUAUCCCCCCAUUGCCUUACCAUCUCCUCUAUUUGAUUCCAGUCAAAAAUUGAUUCAUGGUCGCUCACACAUGAUAGUGCUAGAUGGAAUUCCCUAUGGAUUGCCAAUGCAGAUUACUAUGAUCCACUGUAAUUUUAGUGGUCGUUGGUUUCCGUACAAAAUUGGUUUAUUGCACGCAAGAUUUCAGACUUAAGCACAAGUCAAUGAAUCAUGUACAGCCUCAUGCGGCUGCUUCUACUUCGGGUAAUUUGCCCAAGCAAGGUUAAUCUAUAAAGCUAUGCUUUUCCUCAAAAAAAAGAAUUGGAUUGUCAGGAUUACACCAAACAGUUACUCUUGAUUAAUAGAGAUAAUGACUUUACUAAGACAAAUGUACGUGCACAUUUAUUAAAAACAAUCUUAAACAAUGAUGUUCAUAUUAAGUAGAAAUCUGGUGCUCGUGUCUAUCGUACUACAUCCUAAAUGAUUGGAUAUCCGCUAAUCAACGACUUCAAGUCCUUGAUACACCAGACUUCUGAAUGUCUUUUUUUCAGCGAUUCUUUAUCAACACAACUACUCCUUGUCCUAAGCCUUGAAUCAUUGUGCUCCUGGUUACCUUACUUUUCCAAUUCAUCCUCAUGCUGAAUGUUUACUGAUUUGUUAUCAACACCAGUGCAUUUGCGAGUUAUGACACAAAAUGGUCGUAGAGUUAGCUCAUGCAUUAGUUAGUUACUUCACUAGCUGUGCAUGGUGGGCGUGGCGUGAGCUUAAGAUUAGUUGGUAGUGGAGAUACUCUUGUAAUGGCUAUCUGCUAUUGGCUUUCUUAACCAUCAUCCUAUGCCUUCAUGUUUGUUAGGGACUUAUCUACUAUGAUACCAUAUACAUGCUUAUGGAAGGCACUCAACAGCAUAUUCUAGAAAAAAAUAGAGGUUUAUUAUCCAGGUAUAUUUAUCUACUAUUGUACUUGAGACCUGACAUUCAAAAGGAAAAUUUCAAUAUUAAUAGCUGAUAAAGAAACGCUCCACAGUUAGUCGAUACACAUGUACCAAUCUGGAGUUAGUAUACAUGCUUGAGAUAUGGUCCUAUUGUUAGUUUGGUUUGCUAUUGAGUACAUUGGUUAUAAUUAGAAUUGCAAUAGUUUCGUUAUAGGAUCUAAGGGACAUUUAGAAGUUUGGCAAAAGACGUCAUCUACUCAUGAAUAAUCUCAUCAUCUGAAAAUGGAUUCAGAGUUAGGCCACUUACACAUCAUGGUAAACCUCCUGGUUCCCAUUUUGUCUGUAUUUUUAAAGGGGUGCUAAAAUCCUGGAUGGUCAUUGGAUAGUGGAUUAGCAUCAGUGCUUAACUAAGUCCCUGGAAAUUUGGAUAAGCAGUUUUUCUUUGAAGUGUAUAUGGUUCUAGACUUUCUUUUUGUGGUAAAGGCAGAAUCUUGGAUGAUCAUUGGACAGUGGAUUAGCGUUAGUGCUUAAAUAAGUCCCGAGAAAUCUGGAUGAACAAUUUUUCUUUAAAUGUAUAUGGUUCUACUGGUAAUCAUUAAUCUGUAACCUUGUGCUUGCUUGUGACCAGUAAGGUUGUGACGGGUUGUCAUCCCAUGGUUUUUCUGCAGCACCGUCACUGCCGUCCUUAACAUACAGAAGAAGUUCGUUCCAAGCUUCAAGACUCUAGGGUCAAUUCCAUAGAAGGUAAUUUCCUUUGAUAUUGGUAUUGUUGACAUUUGGUUUUUCCGGCUUCUGGUUGCCGUUAUACUUUGUUUAUCAUGCUUUUGUUUGUAUUUAAAUUUGCCUAAAGAUAUGUUCAAGUUCAUACCUGCAGUUCAAUAGCUAUUGCCUGAAAUCUGCUUUCUACCUGUGCUUUUUAAGUAUAUAUGCCUAUACAGUGUCCUCUAUUGCUUUCUUAAAUUCUGGAGUCUGCUAUGUAAUGAUGGCAUCGGCAGAUUUUGUUGCAGGCAGUACUGAAAAGUAAAUAUAUUGAACAGAUCAAAUUGCAAGAUUAGUUAGCUUUCCUCCUUAUUACAUUUUCUCUUACAUUUUCAAUGCUUUGUCUACCAUGCUUUCUCAUGUCCCUGGUGCCUUUUUUGUUUGAUAUGAAGUAAAUUUGCACACUGGAUGGGGCGACCAGGUUGUGGCAACUUGGCGGCAUGGCUAAUGAAUAAAGAAAAUAGCAAUAACUGAUUGAUUUUAGAUCUCAUGUGCCUGCAAAUCUUCUGUUCUUGCCGUUUAUGUGCUGGAUCUGUUGUUGCAUUCGUCGAUCUGUUGUUGGUUCUUAAUUUAGUCUGGUAAAGAGUAAGUUGCACUUUGUCGGUCCAUUUGGGUUAUGGAUUUUUUUUAUUAUGAUGGCGAGACACACCUAUGGUGAGAUUCUAUUUCGAUGAUGAUGUGCACUCUUCACACCUCGCUUUGAAUUGGCACGAGAAGAUCGUUCUAGAUUGGAAUCCAUAUAACUUUGAGAAGGUCAAUGUCUGUUGUCUUUCUCUCUCUGACUGCCUCCUCCCAUUGACUUGGCAUGCUGGUCACCGCCGUGUCUCCUGCUGGCUUGCCCCUCGCCCUCGUCGGGAGGGUUGUGUGGGCCGUCCUACAUUUUAAUCCACAUAACUUUGAAAAGGUCGCCACCAUGCCGACUCUCUCUCUCUCUCUCUUUCUCUCUCUCUCUCUCCUCUCUCUCUCUCUCUCCUCUCUCUCUCUCUCUCUCUCUCUCUAACAGCCCCUCCCGUUGUCUUGGUUUGCUGGUUGCUGUUGUGUCUCCCGCCGGUUCGCCCGUUGCCAUCACUGGAAGGGUUGUGUAGUCCGCCGCUCAUGCCAGUACUCUGUAGUGACCAGUGAGGACCAUGGCAUCGAGAUAGCCCAAAAGGAAACACCGCCGGCUAUAGCACCGGUUGAGGCCACCCUGUCUGUCAGCCCACAACAGUUUCUUCAUCUGACGAAGAAUUUAUGGUGGAUGAUAUCACUCUGGGAGGAAUUAUCAGGCACACAACCAGCGAGCGGUGGCAGAAGCAACUUCUCCCUUGAACUACAUGCCAGGCCAACUUUAUUCUAAGAGGCUCCAAAAUCUGAAGAAAGAUGUGGCUAUGCAGGAUGCCAAGCAUCGCAAGACUAAGGUGGCUAACACAAUGGAGCUGGAACAUCGACCUUUUGUUUCGUAUCGCCCAAGCCAGCAUGUUUGCCCUUUUGAUGUUCUUCUGAACAGGAAAUGUAUAACGUUUAGAUUCCCGUUGUCGUCUUUGUAAUGGAAGGUAGCACCUGGUGGCAUGUUGCUAUUUUCACUUUGCUUUGAACAAGACAUUGAUAGACUUUAGAUAUUGAUUCUAUCUCUCUAUCGUAGAAAGUAAUGUAUGGUAUUGUGUUUUAUCUCUAUUCAAAUGAAAGCACCGAGCUUGAUUCUGUCU